AGAAAGUAGCUUGCUACUUUGCUGACGAGCGGCGGACGGGUGAGUAAUGCCUGGGAAUAUGCCUUGANGUGGGGGAUAACUAUUGGAAACGAUAGCUAAUACCGCAUAAUGUCUUCGGACCAAAGAGGGGGAUCUUCGGACCUCUCGCGUCAAGAUUAGCCCAGGUGAGAUUAGCUAGUUGGUGGGGUAAGAGCUCACCAAGGCGACGAUCUCUAGCUGGUCUGAGAGGAUGAUCAGCCACACUGGAACUGAGACACGGUCCAGACUCCUACGGGAGGCAGCAGUGGGGAAUAUUGCACAAUGGGCGAAAGCCUGAUGCAGCCAUGCCGCGUGUAUGAAGAAGGCCUUCGGGUUGUAAAGUACUUUCAGUCGUGAGGAAGGGUGUGCAGUUAAUAGCUGUACAUCUUGACGUUAGCGACAGAAGAAGCACCGGCUAACUCCGUGCCAGCAGCCGCGGUAAUACGGAGGGUGCGAGCGUUAAUCGGAAUUACUGGGCGUAAAGCGCAUGCAGGUGGUUCAUUAAGUCAGAUGUGAAAGCCCGGGGCUCAACCUCGGAACCGCAUUUGAAACUGGUGAACUAGAGUGCUGUAGAGGGGGGUAGAAUUUCAGGUGUAGCGGUGAAAUGCGUAGAGAUCUGAAGGAAUACCAGUGGCGAAGGCGGCCCCCUGGACAGACACUGACACUCAGAUGCGAAAGCGUGG
rnacentral:rRNA from 1 species